rnacentral:rRNA from 1 species
CAGCAGCCGCGGUAAUACCGGCGGCCCGAGUGGCGGCCACUAUUAUUGGGCCUAAAGCGUCCGUAGCCGGGCUGGUAAGUCCUCCGGGAAAUCUGGUCGCUUAACGAUCAGACUUCCGGAGGAUACUGCUGGCCUAGGGACCGGGAGAGGCCGAGGGGAUUCCCGGGGUAGGGGUGAAAUCCUGUAAUCCCGGGAGGACCACCUGUGGCGAAGGCGCUCGGCUGGAACGGGUCCGACGGUGAGGGACGAAGGCCAGGGGAGCGAACCGGAUUAGAUGCCCGGGUAGUCCUGGCGGUAAACGAUGCGGCCGAGGUGUCGGGCAAGCUAAGGGCUUGUCCGGUGCCGCAGGGAAGCCGUUAAGUCCGCCGCCUGGGGAGUACGGCCGCAAGGCUGAAACUUAAAGGAAUUGGCGGG